UUGCAGCUGUAUUUUGUUUUACUAUAUUUUUGUAAAUAACUUUAGAAUUUAUUUUAUUUUAAAUGUAAUAUAAUAAAGGUCAAGGAUGAAAAACUUGCUAGAAUUUUGUGUUUUUGAGUGUGUGAGUUAAGUGUUACAUUAUUUUGCACCCUCUUGCGGCCUAGUGGCUAGUACAUCCAACGCUCACCGCCUGAACUGAAAGGUAACAUAGAUGACUACUGUGUUAUCUGCAACAGAACAGAUGAGCAAUCAGGCAGAGGCUUUGUCAACAUGGUACAGGGUGAUGUCUGCUACAGAUGGGCACGUUGAUUGCACAGACCACUCUGCUGAAGAACUAGAAAAUAGUGGAGUUACAUAUAUGUGCAAAAAAUGUACAAUAAAUGAAUAGAAAAUGUCUUUACAUGCGUGUGUGUCAAUGUCUUGACAUAAUCCAAAUACAUGAAGAUACAAACGGCUCGCAAAAAGUUAUCAUACAAAAUGGUCUCAAAAUGUGGUGGUAUUUCUAAAGUGAUUUAAGUGUAGUUGAUGGCUCCAGGUGGCUUCACUUAGCGAAAUCACCGUGCAGAAUGCAGAGCAGCUAACCUGCCUAUGCCGACAGAGCACCACCUCAGGUAUUUAGGUCUGCAGAAGCAGAGAGGUAAAUAGAGAAGGUGUCCUAGAGAGUAUUUGAAACCGAGUUAUUGUGAAUCAUGUAUGACCUGUUUUUGGAUGACUUGCUGGGUGAAACUGUGUAAUGUGUAUGAGAACCCAACUUGGAUAUGGAACUGUACAAUGAAAUGACUACAAAUCUGG